CUGAAAUUCCCUAAAGUAGCCGUGCGUAUGCUUUUCAAUUUGUGACAGUGCUCUUCUCGUUUUGUUUUGCAGCUAAACAAAUAGGUCAUGGAGGACGGCAUCUUUCCGGAGAAGAGAAAAAGACAGAAAAGG
ensembl:ncRNA C34F11.13 ncRNA